UGCAGUCGAACGAUGAAGCCCAGCUUGCUGGGUGGAUUAGUGGCGAACGGGUGAGUAACACGUGAGUAACCUGCCCCCGACUCUGGGAUAAGCGCUGGAAACGGCGUCUAAUACCGGAUAUGACCUGUCCUCGCAUGAGGGUGGGUGGAAAGUUCUUCGGUUGGGGAUGGACUCGCGGCCUAUCAGCUUGUUGGUGAGGUAAUGGCUCACCAAGGCGACGACGGGUAGCCGGCCUGAGAGGGUGACCGGCCACACUGGGACUGAGACACGGCCCAGACUCCUACGGGAGGCAGCAGUGGGGAAUAUUGCACAAUGGGCGAAAGCCUGAUGCAGCAACGCCGCGUGAGGGAUGACGGCCUUCGGGUUGUAAACCUCUUUUAGUAGGGAAGAAGGGCUUCGGCUUGACGGUACCUGCAGAAAAAGCACCGGCUAACUAUGUGCCAGCAGCCGCGGUAAUACGUAGGGUGCGAGCGUUGUCCGGAAUUAUUGGGCGUAAAGAGCUCGUAGGCGGUUUGUCGCGUCUGCUGUGAAAACCCGAGGCUCAACCUCGGGCCUGCAGUGGGUACGGGCAGACUUGAGUGCGGUAGGGGAGAAUGGAAUUCCUGGUGUAGCGGUGGAAUGCGCAGAUAUCAGGAGGAACACCGAUGGCGAAGGCAGUUCUCUGGGCCGUAACUGACGCUGAGGAGCGAAAGCGUGGGGAGCGAACAGGAUUAGAUACCCUGGUAGUCCACGCCGUAAACGUUGGGCGCUAGAUGUGGGGACCUUUCCACGGUUUCCGUGUCGUAGCUAACGCAUUAAGCGCCCCGCCUGGGGAGUACGNCCGCANGGCUAAAACUCAAA
rnacentral:rRNA from 1 species